rfam:Colletotrichum salicis strain CBS 607.94 Scaffold_357.1, whole genome shotgun sequence.
GGUCGGUUAGCUCAGUUGGUUAGAGCGUGGUACUAAUAUUCCACCAGAAAUGUUGAGUAAUGCCAAGGCCGAGAGUUCAAGCCUCUCACUGAUCA